CCAAGGCCUGCCCACAGCCACAGAGCAGAGCGGCUUGGACGUUUGUCCUCCCCCAUGAACCCUUUGGAGGACAGCAGAGCCCAGCUGCAGCUGACACCCCCAUGCAGCCUGGUCCCAAGCAAACCUUGAGGACAUGUGGACCGGCAGGAGAAAGGAAGCACUGGGGGACACAGGCAAGGCCAGAGCUGGAGUCUUAUCAACCUGGCCACAGCACUGCUCAUCAGGCUUUGCCAUUGCCUGGAGCAGAGCACACAGUCCUAAGAACCACCUGUGAUCCUGGCCCUUUCUACAGAAGCCCAGCUGGCCAGAGCCUGUGGCUACUCGGCCGGCUCCUCGGAGCGCCUGCCCUCCUCAGCAGGUGCAGUGCCCGCAGGGUCUCUGCCGGGGUGCUGAGGGGCUCCCCUCACUGGUAGAGGAUGCAGCACCCCCAGACUACGGGCAGAUGUACUCCUCACUGGGCCUUCAGAAUCAAAGUGGAUAUGAUGGCCUUCUGCAGAAGCAAAGGACUUUGUUACUCACAGCAGAACUGUGCUCAACUGUGCUUGUGA